CUUGGUCAAUUUAGAGGAAGUAAAAGUCGUAACAAGGUUUCCGUAGGUGAACCUGCGGAAGGAUCAACCCCUGUGGGUAUAGUGAGAUGGUUUUUCCAACCCAACCCGUGCGCACAUCCAUUGGACUGGAUGCACGGGUGUGUGGUCUUCUUGGUGGGGAGGCCUGGUUAGGGCCUGACUUGGUGGGGGUGACUAGGCUGGACGGUGUACUGACAAAGCCGUUUUUCCAGUUAUAGAGCCGUUCCGGUCGGGCCCAAGGGCAUGUCCAGUCCCAUUGGUGGUGGACGCCCCUCCGUGGGCUCUGAGGCCUUGUCACCCUCAGUGUCCGUCGGAGUCUACAAAGGGGCGCUUGUGCCCCGGCGUAACGUGGAUGUGUGUGUACAUACAUAUUCCGGUUGGCCUUGUGCCAACAACAUGCCAGUGAAGACGUGUCCUUGUCCACUCCAACGUUUUUACCUACGGGACAAGGCCUAGCUGGUCCGCAGGCGGCGGGAUGACUUGGGUUGGAAGAGGGGGCCGAUGUGUACACAAUGCCCUCCUUCCGUUGUGCCCAAUCGUCUGAAGUUAUGGGCCUCGACGAAUUGAUGUAAGUCGAGGGGGUCAUAUCUGUUUUUGGCCCGGCAUGGACCUAGACCUACACGCGGUGCCCCUGUUCUUGACUGAUUAGGUCUAUAACAUCAAGCUGAGUUUUCCAAUGGGUUUUUAAAUAACUCUCAACAAUGGAUCUCUAGGCUCUUGCAUCGAUGAAGAACGCAGUGAACUGCGAUAACUGGUGUGAGUUGCAUGGCACUUCUAAUCUAACACCAAGCGAAUCAUCGAGUCUUUGAACGCAAACGGCACCCUUCCAGUCCAUUCCAAAGCGGUGGCGGAGGAUGAAGACAAGGGUAUCUCUGGCUG
rnacentral:misc_RNA from 1 species